ACCCUAUUGACGCAGUGGCUUAGCGUGUCGUUCUUAUAUUCUUCCCGAAAGGGACGAGAUAUGCGAAAGUCGUGAGUUCGAAUCUCACAUAGGGUA